CUCUACUGUGGUUUCUCUCUGACGUGUCAUCUGCUGGCAGGUGUUCAGAAAUGUGCUGUAUGUGCUUCUGAAUUACACAGCCCGGAUCACUGUGCAGCAGAGGACCAAGGAACGGGGCACAAACAUGAAAGAGGGAAGUGGCGUUUCUCCCAUGUGGAAAGUGUUGCUGGUGGGGAUGUGCGUGCUGCUGCUCCUGAGCACGGCAGGUUUAGUGUUUCUGCUGUUUCGGCAGAAAGAGUUGGCAGACGAGCUGUUUAGGCUGGAGUCCCAGCUGCAGGAGCUGACAGAGAGCUGCAGGUUGCGGGCGGGAAUCCUGCCCAUCGACCCCGGAGAGGCCCGAGAGUUCAGGAAGCUCCACCGCCGCAGGAGAAACCAGGAAGAAGAUCCAACGCAAAGCCAAGAUCAGAAGGAUAUGCUGAUGCUCAUGACAUACUCUAUGGUUCCUGUCAAAGCCUUCACAGACAUGUGCAGGAGCUCCAAAGGAAUUUGUUUAACAGGCCCACCUGGACCGCCAGGUGAACCCGGUUCACCUGGACCAGCGGGUCCACCGGGGCCAGAGGGGAGACGAGGAAGAAAAGGUGAGAACUUUUAUAUGUCUAAGAAAUCUGAGAACCCAUCUCCUCUCCCAUUCAGCGAAAAGCUGUAUGAAAAAAACAAACAAACAUUUGGAGAACAGAAGCUUCUCAUGCAUUUCAAACAGUCUUUUAUUGUUCCUGCUGUGAUUGCACAACACGAGCAUCCCACUCACUGUCUGCAAGAAACUUG
rnacentral:lncRNA from 1 species